GAUGAACGCUGGCGGCGUGCCUAAUACAUGCAAGUCGAGCGAACAGACGAGGAGCUUUCUCCUCUGACGUUAGCGGCGGACGGGUUAGUAACACGUGGAUAACCUACCUAUAAGACUGGGAUAACUUCGUUAAACCGUAGCUAAUACCGGAUAAUAUAUUGAAUCGCAUGGUUCAAUAGUGAAAGACGGUUUUGCUGUCACUUAUAGAUGGAUCCGCGCCGCAUUAGCUAGUUGGUAAGGUAACGGCUUACCAAGGCGACGAUGCGUAGCCGACCUGAGAGGGUGAUCGGCCACACUGGAACUGAGACACGGCCCAGACUCCUACGGGAGGCAGCAGUAGGGAAUCUUCCGCAAUGGGCGAAAGCCUGACGGAGCAACGCCGCGUGAGUGAUGAAGGUCUUCGGAUCGUAAAACUCUGUUAUAAGGGAAGAAAAAAUGUGUAAGUAACUAUGCACGUCUUGACGGUACCUAAACAGAAAGCCACGGCUAACUACGUG
rnacentral:rRNA from 1 species